GACGAACGCUGGCGGCGCGCUUAACACAUGCAAGUCGAACGGAAAGGCCUGCUUUCCCUUGUGGAUUGCGGGUACUCGAGUGGCGAACGGGUGAGUAACACGCGAGUGAUCUGCCCCCAACUUGGGUAUAAGCCUGGGAAACUGGGUCUAAUUCCCGAUAGGACUGCAGGGUGGUGCCUGUGGUGGAAAACGAUUUUCUAGUGGUUGGGGAUGAGCUCGCGGCCUAUCAGCUUGUUGGUGGGGUAAUGGCCUACCAAGGCGGCGACGGGUAGCCGGCCUGAGAGAGUGGACGGCCACAGUGGGACUGAGAUACGGCCCAGACUCCUACGGGAGGCAGCAGUGGGGAAUAUUGCACAAUGGGCGGAAGCCUGAUGCAGCGACGCCGCGUGGGGGAUGACGGCCUUCGGGUUGUAAACUCCUUUCGACCGCGAGGAAGCCACCUGGUUGGAAGGGUGGUGACGGUAGUGGUAGAAGAAGCACCGGCUAACUACGUG
rnacentral:rRNA from 1 species